UAGGGAAUCUUCGGCAAUGGGGGCAACCCUGACCGAGCAACGCCGCGUGAGUGAAGAAGGUUUUCGGAUCGUAAAGCUCUGUUGUAAGAGAAGAACGUGUGUGAGAGUGGAAAGUUCACACAGUGACGGUAACUUACCAGAAAGGGACGGCUAACUACGUGCCAGCAGCCGCGGUAAUACGUAGGUCCCGAGCGUUGUCCGGAUUUAUUGGGCGUAAAGCGAGCGCAGGCGGUUUAAUAAGUCUGAAGUUAAAGGCAGUGGCUUAACCAUUGUUCGCUUUGGAAACUGUUAAACUUGAGUGCAGAAGGGGAGAGUGGAAUUCCAUGUGUAGCGGUGAAAUGCGUAGAUAUAUGGAGGAACACCGGUGGCGAAAGCGGCUCUCUGGUCUGUAAAUGACGCUGAGGCUCGAAAGCGUGGGGGGCAAACAGG
rnacentral:rRNA from 1 species